rnacentral:tRNA from 1 species
CCUGGUGGCUCAGAUGGUAAAGCAUCUGCCUGCAAUGCAGGUGACCAGGAUUCAACCCCUGGGUCAGGA